UAUUUCCUUUUAAUCAGGGUGAUAUUUGUCUAUUAGAUACUCCUAGACAAAUAUCAAUUUAAAAAUAAUUGUUAUUUCAAUGCAUUAAUGUUUUAUUUUCUUUUGAUUAGGCUGAAAACCUUGGUCUUCUCUCUGGGGCCGUGGCUGCUUUGACUGCAUACUAUUCAAAAUCGUGCAACCAGAUAUUGUACUCUCCUGUUGAUACUCUCCAGCAGUUAGAACAACUUACAAACACAGUUCUUCUUCUCUUGGUUGAGUCUCAAUUCCUGGAUUGGUGUUUCACGCAAAUCAGGUCUUAUUCUGCUUUUAACAAGAACAGAGAAUCAAAACUUUCUAGGAAGUUUAUCCCCAGUCUUCCAGACUUUGGCUCAUUAGAACUAAUCGAGAAGGCUGGAAUGCAUCCUGUGGAGUCCAUCAUCACUGAACUGCUAGGAUUUACAUCAUCGUUAAUGCAGCUUCUGUUUCAAGUCACAACGUUACACAAAGGAAUUGCUGCAAAGGUAUGUUUCCUACGACUGUUGGAUAUCUAGG